rnacentral:rRNA from 1 species
UUAUGGUCAUAUCACAUUGAAACACCGGUUCUUGUAGGAUCACUGAAAUUAAGCAACAUCAAGCCUGGUCAGUAUCUAGAUGGGUGACCACUUGGGGAUUCCAGGUGCUGUAAGC